rnacentral:rRNA from 1 species
AGUGAACGCUGGCGGCGUGCCUAAUACAUGCAAGUCGAACGGAGUGGCGCACGGGGGAGUAAUAUAUAGCUAAAAUGCCCCUUGCUGGAGGACAAACGAUAGAAAUGGGUACUAAUACCCCAUAGCAAGGGAGGAGACGAUAUCGUAUCAGCUAGUCGGUGGGGUAACGGCCUACCGAGGCGAUGACGCUUAACUGGUCUGAGAGGAUGAUCAAUCACAUUGGACGUGAGACAGGGUCCAAAAACCUUCGGGAGGGAGCAGUAGGGAAUAUUGCGCAUGGGGCGAAACCCUGACGCACCAUCGCGGCGUGAAGGAUGUCACUCGUCGGGGCGUAAACUCCGUUUGUUAGCGAAGCGGUACCUAACGAAUAAGCACCGGCUAACUCCGUGCCAGCAGCCGCGGUAAUAC